CCUACGGGUGGCAGCAGUGAGGAAUAUUGGUCAAUGGACGAGAGUCUGAACCAGCCAAGUAGCGUGAAGGAUGACUGCCCUAUGGGUUGUAAACUUCUUUUAUAUGGGAAUAAAAUGUUCCACGUGUGGGAUUUUGUAUGUACCUUAUGAAUAAGGAUCGGCUAACUCCGUGCCAGCAGCCGCGGUAAUACGGAGGAUCCGAGCGUUAUCCGGAUUUAUUGGGUUUAAAGGGAGCGUAGGUGGAUUGUUAAGUCAGUUGUGAAAGUUUGCGGCUUAACCGUAAAAUUUCAGUUGAAACUGGGAGGCCUUAGGACAGUAGAGGUGGGGGGAAUUCGUGGGGGAGCGGUUAAA
rnacentral:rRNA from 1 species